rnacentral:tRNA from 1 species
GCCCGCUUGGCUCAGUGGUAGAGCGUGUCACUAGUAGAGACUAGGUGAUGACAAGGUCAUCAGUUCGAUUCUGAUAGUGGGCA